UUGUAGGUAAUGCAGAAAUGACUUAAAUGAAGAUGGACUCUUCUAGGGUGUGGAUCACUUGGAAACAGACAGACGAGUAAUUGAAGAGACUAAGAUUCCUGCAGACUUCCUCACCAAGUUACGCCACAUUUCUUUCAGUUUUACUUGAUAUGUAUAUAAUUGCAGUUAAUAAAACUUGGAUUUGAAA